rnacentral:rRNA from 1 species
GACGAACGCUGGCGGCGUGCUUAACACAUGCAAGUCGAACGGAAAGGCCCUGCUUUUGUGGGGUGCUCGAGUGGCGAACGGGUGAGUAACACGUGAGUAACCUGCCCUUGACUUUGGGAUAACUUCAGGAAACUGGGGCUAAUACCGGAUAGGAGCUCCUGCUGCAUGGUGGGGGUUGGAAAGUUUCGGCGGUUGGGGAUGUACUCGCGGCUUAUCAGCUUGUUGGUGGGGUAGUGGCUUACCAAGGCUUUGACGGUUAGCCGGCCUGCGAGGGUGACCGGCCACAGUGGGACUGAGAUGCGGCCCAGACUCCUACGGGAGGCAGCAGUGGGGAAUAGUGCACGAUGGGCGGAGGCCGGAUGCAGCAACGUCGCGUGCUGGAUGACUGCCUUCGGGUUGUAAACCGCUUUCGCCUGUGACGAAGCGUGAGUGACGGUAAUGGGUAAAGAAGCACCGGCUAACUACGUG